rnacentral:rRNA from 1 species
CAAGUUUGACCUCGAAUCAGGUGGGACUACCCGCUGAACUUAAGCAUAUCAAUAAGCGGAGGAAAAGAACUAACAAGGAUUCCCCUAGUAACGGCGAGUGAAGCGGGAAAAGCUCAAAUUUAAAAUCUGACAGUCUUCGAUUGUCCGAAUUGUAAUCUAGAGAAGCGUUUUCUGCGCUGGACUGUGUAUAAGUUUCCUGGAUACGGAACAUCAUAGAGGGUGAGAAUCCCGUCCUUGACACAGACUCCCAGUUGCUUUGUGAUGCGCUCUCGACGAGUCGAGUUGUUUGGGAUUGCAGCUCAAAAUGGGAGGUAAAUUCCUUCUAAAGCUAAAUAUUGGCGAGAGACCGAUAGCGAACAAGUACCGUGAGGGAAAGAUGAAAAGCACUUUGGAAAGAGAGUUAAACAGUACGUGAAAUUGUUAAAAGGGAAACGCUUGAAGUCAGUCGCAUCUGCUUGGACUCAGCCUCACUUCGGUUUGGUGCAUUUCCUUGCAGGUGGGCCAGCGUCCAUGCUGUUUGUCGGAAAAGGGGUGNAGGAAUGUGGCUCCUUUGGGAGUGUUAUAGCCUUCAUUCGUAUGCGAUGGAUGGUAUGGAGUGGUACAGCAUGCUUCGGUGGUGCUUGUGCUGGCAUAAUGGCUUUAAACGACCCGUCUUGAAACACGGACCA